UGCAAGUGGAGCGACGAACCAGGGCCUUGCCCUGGGGCAGAGCCGCGAACGGGUGAGUAGCACGUGGGUAACCUACCCCGAUGACCGGGAUAACCCGAGGAAACUCGAGCUAAUACCGGAUGUGCUCCCUCCUCAUCAGAGGAGUGAGUAAAGGAAGCUUCGGCCUCCGCAUUGGGAGGGGCCCGCGGCCCAUUAGCUAGUUGGUGGGGUAAUGGCCCACCAAGGCUGCGAUGGGUAGCUGGUCUGAGAGGACGAUCAGCCACACUGGGACUGAGACACGGCCCAGACUCCUACGGGAGGCAGCAGUGGGGAAUCUUGCGCAAUGCGCGACAGCGUGACGCAGCAACACCGCGUGGGGGAAGAAGGCCUUCGGGUUGUAAACCCCUUUCAGGAGGGACGAAGGCCGGCCGGCGAAUAGCCGUGUCGGUUGACGGUACCUCCACAAGAAGCCCCGGCUAACUACGUGCCAGCAGCCGCGGUAAUACGUAGGGGGCAAGCGUUGUCCGGAAUCAUUGGGCGUAAAGCGCGCGUAGGCGGCCCGAUCAGUCCGCUGUAAAAGUCAACGGCUCAACUGUUGAAUGCCGGUGGAUACUGUCGGGCUAGAGUCCGGAAGAGGCAAGUGGAAUUCCUGGUGUAGCGGUGGAAUGCGCA
rnacentral:rRNA from 1 species